rnacentral:misc_RNA from 1 species
UCGUAACAAGGUUUCCGUAGGUGAACCUGCGGAAGGAUCAUUAGUGAUUGCCUUCAUUGGCUUAAAACUAUAUCCACAUACACCUGUGAACUGUUCUACUACUUGACGCAAGUCGAGUAUUUUUACAAACAAUGUGUAAUGAACGUCGUUUUAUUAUAACAAAAUAAAACUUUCAACAACGGAUCUCUUGGCUCUCGCAUCGAUGAAGAACGCAGCGAAUUGCGAUAAGUAAUGUGAAUUGCAGAAUUCAGUGAAUCAUCGAAUCUUUGAACGCAGCUUGCGCUCUCUGGUAUUCCGGAGAGCAUGCCUGUUUCAGUGUCAUGAAAUCUCAACCACUAGGGUUUCCUAAUGGAUUGGAUUUGGGCGUUGCGAUCUCUGAUCGCUCGCCUUAAAAGAGUUAGCAAGUUUGACAUUAAUGUCUGGUGUAAUAAGUUUCACUGGGUCCAUUGUGUUGAAGCGUGCUUCUAAUCGUCCGCAAGGACAAUUACUUUGACUCUGGCCUGAAAUCAGGUAGGACUACCCGCUGAACUUAAGCAUAUCA